rnacentral:lncRNA from 1 species
CUUCCUCCAUUAAUUCUUCUCUCUCUCUAGAGUGCCUAAGAGAUCAAAGGAAGAAGAAAAAGGUCAACUACCAAAGAUCUUCGCGAGCUAGCACUCCCGAGGAGACUGAUCAGCAACCAAUCUUCGUAUGGAUGAUCUGUAGAGGUCGGACAUCUUUGUGCGGCUGUGAGUAACUUGAAGGAGCUCCAAUUCACGUGAUACAAUGGUGGAGAUCAGCAACCCGCACUUCAGUAAUGAGUUCUGAACUUGUUAGAUCAAGUUUGAUUAGUUUUAAAGGUUAGAUCUAAUCUAGAGCAUCGAUAUGAUC